CUACUACUCCCUCCGUCCGGAAAUACUUGUCAUUAAAAUGGAUAAAAAUACGUCUCGAGACAUCUCCUUUUUUUAUCUUGAUGAUAAGUAUUUCCGGACGGAGGGAGUACUAC
rfam:Triticum aestivum genome assembly, contig: Triticum_aestivum_CS42_TGACv1_scaffold_526316_6DL